UGACGGACGAAAGGGCGCGAAGUGUCUGGUGCAUAAGGUGCCUGAAGUUGUUGCAUUCGCCUCUCAUUCGCUUAUGCGCGAGUAUUGGUAGAGUAUGCUUCAAUCACGUUACGUACCGGAGGCUAAACAUAAAAUGGAGGUGUGCCCUUAAUUAAAGCAGCAGGUAUUUUAUGCUCAAAUGACUGUACUUACAUGCAUGAUGCUGAAGAAGAAGAGGAAGACUUCUGUUGUUUUUGCUGAUGAUUUUGGAACCAGCGAUCAUAUAUCUUCAGAUCUGUUGCUGAUCAAGCACUUUUCAAUUCACACGUUUAAACACAUAAAUUUCAUAAAAUAAGAAUUUAAUUAUUCUUUAUUAGUACUUUUUUUAAAUAUGUACAUAUUUGAUUGUUGGUAAUUGAAAUAUUAAUUUUACGCGGCAAUUAGGAAUGUUUCAUUUACAAAACGUUAAAUUCUACUGUCAAAUAGUAAAGCUUAUCUCUGAUAAGUAGAGCAUACAAUCUCACUUCAGAGCUAUAAAUAUACUAAAGUUAAUGAUUUACAGUUCCAUUCAAUGCAUUUGCGUUUUAUCAGCAGAUAGAGUAUCCUGUACAAUGAUGCUUUCAUUUGAUAAAUAAAUUUUAAUUUUUUUAUUCUAA